AUGAAGAACGUAGCGAAAUGCGAUAAGUAAUGUGAAUUGCAGAAUUCAGUGAAUCAUCGAAUCUUUGAACGCACAUUGCGCCCCCUGGUAUUCCGGGGGGCAUGCCUGUUCGGGCGUCAUUUCACCACUCAAGCCUCGCUUGGUAUUGGGCAACGCGGUCCGCCGCGUGCCUCAAAUCGACCGGCUGGGUCUUCUGUCCCCUAAGCGUUGUGGAAACUAUUCGCUAAAGGGUGUUCGGGAGGCUACGCCGUAAAACAACCCCAUUUCUAAGGUUGACCUCGGAUCAGGUAGGGAUACCCGCUGAACUUAAGCAUAUCAAUAAGCGGAGGA
rnacentral:misc_RNA from 1 species